AAAGUUUUAAGUUAAAUUACAAACUAAUAAUCUUCAAAAUUAUAAAUAAAUUAUUAAUAUUUAAGCUUUA
rnacentral:tRNA from 1 species